rnacentral:rRNA from 1 species
AGUGAACGCUGGCGGUAGGCCUAACACAUGCAAGUCGAACGUCAGCACAGUAAGAGCUUGCUCUUACGGGUGGCGAGUGGCGGACGGGUGAGGAAUACAUCGGAAUCUACUUUUUCGUGGGGGAUAACGUAGGGAAACUUACGCUAAUACCGCAUACGACCUACGGGUGAAAGCAGGGGAUCUUCGGACCUUGCGCGAUUGAAUGAGCCGAUGUCGGAUUAGCUAGUUGGCGGGGUAAAGGCCCACCAAGGCGACGAUCCGUAGCUGGUCUGAGAGGAUGAUCAGCCACACUGGAACUGAGACACGGUCCAGACUCCUACGGGAGGCAGCAGUGGGGAAUAUUGGACAAUGGCGCAAGCCUGAUCCAGCCAUACCGCGUGGGUGAAGAAGGCCUUCGGGUUGUAAAGCCCUUUUGUUGGGAAAGAAAAGCAGCAGGUUAAUACCCCGCUGUUCUGACGGUACCCAAAGAAUAAGCACCGGCUAACUUCGUG